GAGAAACACAAAGGCAGACAAAAAGACACGCAGACACACCGGCAGACCAACACCCAGGAUGAAGUCCAAGCAGUCAUUCGUCCCACCCAUCUCUUGGUUUUUAGUAGGUUAUUGCUCUGAUUUUCUCCUUCCUCUGAAUCUUAAGAGAAGCCAGACACUUUCCACAGCACGGCUCUGCUCCUGGUGUCCUCUGGUAGGUACUUCCUGAAGACACCUGCUGGGAUGAUGUGGCCGGAUCCUUCAAGGAUUGAGUCCCUCUUGUAGACUCUUGUAGUCUUCUCUGUUCCAAUGUUAAAAGUCCAGCACAAGGAGAGACACGGUGGCGCUCACCUGGUCCCUUUGCUGACAUGCCCAGAGCAGACAGGCUGCAGUGUGGGACUGGACCGGAGAGCAGGUACGGCCUGCGCCCUGUGCUCGCCAGGGACAGAUGGGUCAUUGAAGCGCAGGCAUCAGCGCUCAGAUGAUUCCAGUUAUUACUGCUGGCGUUUCCCUCCCCUGAUGUCCUGAUUUGUUUACUGGAAGCAGAUUGCAUUACCCUCCUGACUGAAAUGGCUGUCAGGGUUCCCCACAGAGCGAUCUAGCUCUCUAUUUCAAAGUGUUGUGUGCGAUAAAGGACAGGAGUUUGAAAAUUAGUCUGGAAUCUGUUUUUUUUAUUUUCCUCAUUUGGUAAAUAUGUAUCUGAUUGUGUCAUUUAAUGCAUUGCUGAAUGUCAUUAUUGCCCAGUCUGUCAUUGUUCAAC
ensembl:lincRNA